GACGAACGCUGGCGGCGUGCUUAACACAUGCAAGUCGAACGAGUGGCGAACGGGUGAGUAACGCAUCGGAACGUACCGAGUAAUGGGGGAUAACUGUCCGAAAGGACAGCUAAUACCGCAUAUUAUUCGAGCGGCCGAGGUCUGAUUAGCUGGUUGGGGGGGGAAAGGACCACCAAGGCGACGAUCAGUAGCGGGUCUGAGAGGAUGAUCCGCCACACUGGGACUGAGACACGGCCCAGACUCCUACGGGAGGCAGCAGUGGGGAAUUUUGGACAAUGGGCGCAAGCCUGAUCCAGCCAUGCCGCGUGUAUGAAGAAGGCCUUCGGGUUGUAAAGUACUUUCAGCGGGGAGGCGUUACCCGCAGAAGAAGCACCGGCUAACUCCGUGCCAGCAGCCGCGGUAAUAC
rnacentral:rRNA from 1 species